UACGGAGGAUCCAAGCGUUAUCCGGAAUCAUUGGGUUUAAAGGGUUCGUAGGCGGUAGAGUAAGUCAGUGGUGAAAGUUUGCAGCUUAACUGUAAAAUUGCCAUUGAUACUGCUUUACUUGAAUUACUUAGAAGUUACUAGAAUAUGUAGUGUAGCGGUGAAAUGCUUAGAUAUUACAUGGAAUACCAAUUGCGAAGGCAGGUAACUAUGAAAUGAUUGACGCUGAUGGACGAAAGCGUGGGUAGCGAACAGGAUUAGAUACCCCCG
rnacentral:rRNA from 1 species